rnacentral:rRNA from 1 species
ACGAACGCUGGCGGCGUGCCUCAUACAUGCAAGUAGCACGCUGAAGGAAGGAGCUUGCUCUUUCUGGAUGAGUUGCGAACGGGUGAGUAACGCGUAGGUAACCUGCCUGGUAGCGGGGGAUAACUAUUGGAAACGAUAGCUAAUACCGCAUAAAAUUGAUUAUUGCAUGAUAGUCAAUUAAAAGGUGCAACUGCACCACUACCAGAUGGACCUGAGUUGUAUUAGCUAGUUGGUGGGGUAACGGCUCACCAAGGCGACGAUACAUAGCCGACCUGAGAGGGUGAUCGGCCACACUGGGACUGAGACACGGCCCAGACUCCUACGGGAGGCAGCAGUAGGGAAUCUUCGGCAAUGGACGGAAGUCUGACCGAGCAACGCCGCGUGAGUGAAGAAGGUUUUCGGAUCGUAAAGCUCUGUUGUAAGAGAAGAACGAGUGUGAGAGUGGAAAGUUCACACUGUGACGGUAUCUUACCAGAAAGGGACGGCUAACUACGUG